rnacentral:tRNA from 1 species
UUAUGGUUAGUUUAAUGAAAAUUUUUGAUUUUGGUUUGAAAGAUUAUCCAUAAU